GGCGCGAGAGCCCUUUUCAAACGCGGCGGUCAUUCGAGCCGCGCGCCCAUUCCUUUAAGCAGAUCCCCCGCGCACUCCGUUAAAAAUACACACCGGGGAGGGGGGCGACGAGAAGGAGCUGCUCCCCGUUUAAAGAAGCGCUAUCGACCCAAGAACCCCCCACUCGUCCAAAACAAAAAAAAAAUCACCUCUCAUCAACACCGCCUCCCCCCUCCCCACAAAAAAAACACCUCCCGCAUUAGGCCUCGCCCUUCGGCGUCACCGGGCUCCAGGCUGUGACGCACCCCGCCGCUGCGGGAGUAGUAGGGGGUCCACCCCGCUGUCGCGCCUAGUCCCCAGGGGAAGAAAGAAACUGUGUAAGGCCUCCCGCUUCGCCCAGGAAGCGGCCUGCCAGUCGGUACAUCUUUCUCUCCUCUCCCCCCCCCCCGGGCAACACACGGCGCGGGCUCCGCCGCCAUGUUGAUGCCAUGAGGCUUUCUUUUUCAGGCUUCCCUAGCUGGAAGCGGAAGUGGUUUCGCAAGACAGAAGGGGAAAAGAAACAUGGAAUAAAAUCGCCCUACCACCUCAACAGGAUGAGGAUGCUGCUGGCUAGGCAGCAUUUAUUGUCCAUCCUUAAUUGCCCUGAGGGUAGUUCAGAGUCAACGACAUUGCUGUGGACCUGGAGUCACAUGUAGGCCAGACCAGAACAAGAAGGUCAGAAUCCAGGAUUUUUGAUGGCAUGACAAGGGAAAGAUGGAGCAUAGUACUGUGGUUACAAGAGACUACUGCCUCUGUUUUAAUGCCUUGGGCACAAAAAAGCCACUUCUUUUGGCACAACGAUUCUCAAUGGGUACACAGUGUAAUCAGUAGCAUAGAAAUUUCCAUACUGCUUUAAUUGCAGCUUCUCCUCAGCCAUCACCUGAAGUUAUUGACUCAUACAGGUAAUACUGAUCAGAAUCUAGAACCUCAUUCACUUGACUCUUUUUCAGGUAUGAACUGAGAUAGCCUGUGCCAACAUACUGUUUGCCCACAGGCAGAAGCAUAAUUCUCCAAUGUGAUUCUCUCAACUGAUGUCUGCUUGCAUGCACUUCUAUAUAGGGGGUCUUGGAAGAUGAGGAAAUCCUGCAAGCUACAUCUCUUUUCUCUAGCCCAGAGCGCACAAGUAUGAAUUGCCAAUCCCAACCAUUUUCCCAUUAAAAUCAGCCAUGCUGGGGAUUGAGGCAGUUGCAUUUGUGCUCUGCAUGAGUAAGUCUAAAACUUUCUAAUAGAAGUCUCAAAAAUGUAUUUUAAAUGUCUUUAAUUUGAAAAUACCCUCUAUACUCAAGAGUCGAUUUUUGUCUACAAAUCUUUUGUCCAAAAACUCAAAAUCUUUUACUUAUCUCUCAUGUUUCGCAUUGAUUCCAAUGCAUCAACUUGGUGAGGAGUUGAUGGCAUAGUAGUUACAUCCCUGGACCAGAAAUCCAAAGAGCCAGGCUAAUGAGGCUGCACAGUGGCUCAGUGGUUAGCAUGACUGUAUCACAGUGACCCGGGUUCAAUUCCAGCCUCGGGCGACUGCGUGUGUGAAGUUUGCACAUUCUCCCCGUGUCUGCAUAAGUUUCCUCCCACAGUUCAAAGAUGUGCAGGCUAGGUGGAUUGGCUAUGGGAAAUACAGGGAUAGGGUAAGGGGGAUGCAUCUGGAUGGGAUGCUCUUUGGAGAAUCAGUGUGGACUUGUUGGGCCGAAUGGCCUGUUUCCACACUAGGGAUUCUAUGAUUCUAAUGUUCCGGUGCGAUAGGUAUAAUCCUGCUGUGGCAGGUAAUGAAAUUUGAAUUUGGUAAAAUCUGAAAAUUAAAAAAUGCUAGCAAGAGACAACUAUGUCAAUUGUUGCAAAAACGUAUCUGGUUCAUUAACGUCCAUAGGGAAGGAAUUUUUUUUUCCUCUAUUCAUUUGUGGCAUGUGGGAUGUGGGCGUCACUCGCUGGCCAGCAUUCUUGCCCAUCCCUAAUCUACCAAAUUUACCAACCUGGGUCUGGCUUACAUGUGACUCUGAUACGCAGCAGGUUGAGUCUUAACUGCCCUCUGUACAGCCAGGGAUGGACAGUAAAUGUUGGCCUAGGCAGCACCUGUACCCCAUGAAUGAAUUUAAAAAAUAUUCAUUUGAAGGCAACUGUUCAGCUCCUCAUGCUGUUAAGGUUACCAUCUCACUGCUGCGUGCUAUGUUCCCAGCAAUUCUGUCCUCCGACAUGACAAUAUAAGAUCAAGAAGGAACAUCAAAUAUACAACCCAGUUCAAACUUAUAGUCAUUGAAUUUACAGAGCUGACAAAUAAUUGUACAGCAGCUAAAGAGAUAAAGAAAUCAGAGAAAAAAAAAAUCGUUGGAGACUGGAGGAUGCUGUCCACAUGGCUUAGCCAGAUGCCCAAGAGUGACAUGUAGAGGAAAGCCUAAUAUGUGGCCGUAAUGAAGUUGCAAAAUAUGUAAGUAAAAAUCACUGGAAUGGCCUCUCAGUUUCUUGCAGAUCUAUUGGAAUCUUUGGCCUGAAACAAUCAAGAUAAUUAGGGUCCACAGAUUUCAAAGCCAACUCUGGAUGAUAUACCAGGUUGAUGAAGAAAAAUAGUUUUGUACCACAAUACCAGGAUUUUACAGGACACUCAUUGCAUUUCAGUGGGUACAACCAAACACUCUCAAAAGAAUGGAUAUUGAUUGACCUAUAUUGGUAAUAGUGAAGGCAACUGGCCAGGAGUAGAUUCAUUAUUGUAUUGUUGUGCAUGACUGACAAAAGACAAGGCUUCUAACAAUAGUGAUAUUGAAGAGAAAAACCCUUCCAAAACAUGAAUUCCUAAAAGAAGUAGUCACUUACCAUCACAACAAAGGAUGUAUGAAUUCAGGUGGCUUGAAAAUCAGACUGAGGAAAGUUUAGAGGAUUAUGUGAAGAAUUUUUUUUCUCAUCUGGUAUAUGUUCCUUGUUGGUGAUGUUGCUGAAGUUAGGUUAUAAAACAGUGAUGCUGCAGUGAUUCCUGAUUGUCUAACCAGCCUGUUCAACCAUUGGAUGUCUCUUCAUGUUUUGGAGGGGCUUUUCUCUUCAAUAUCACUAUUGUUAGAAGCCUUGUCUUUUGUCAGUCAUGCACAACAAUACAAUAAUGAAUCUACUCCUGGCCAGUUGCCUUCACUAUUACCAAUAUAGGCCAAUCAAUAUCCAUUCUUUUGAGAGUGUUUGGUUAAAGCCACUGAAAUGCAAUGAGUGUCGUCAUGAUCCUGUAAAAUCCUGGUAUUCUGUUGUGGGACAAAACUAUUUUUCUUCAUCAACCUGGUAUAUCAUCCAGAGUUGGCUUUGAAAUCUGUGAACCCUAAUUAUCUUGAUUGUUUCAGGCCAAAGACAUGAGAAGAAAAUGAAAUGAUUGGAGAAGAGAAGACAUUCACUGAGGGAGGCAGCAGACAGGCUCUGACAAUAUCAACCUUGUGUGAAUAGGUUAGAGGCCAGGGAUGAAAUCAGAACUAAGAUCAUCAUCGAAUCAUUGAAUGAAUGGGGUUGUCCAAUGCACUUUAUGGACACAAAAUGAUUAUUUGUGGAAUGAUAUGGCGAAUGAUGACAUGAAUGCUGAUAAAGAUGAUGUUGAUGACCUAAAUGAUGCGAUUCAAAAACCAAAGUAGGACAAGUUAUUUGGUUAUGAAAAUGAGGAGGGUGAUUUUUAUUGACUUUAAUGCAUGUUCAAUACACAGCCUGUUGAUGUUCUUUUCUAUGCUGUGAUAAAAACUGAAUAAAUUUGUAUUAAUUC